rnacentral:rRNA from 1 species
UACGUAGGCAGCGAGCGUUGUUCGGAGUUACUGGGCGUAAAGGGUGUGUAGGCGGUUGUUUAAGUUUGGUGUGAAAUCUCCCGGCUCAACUGGGAGGGUGCGCCGAAUACUGAGCGACUAGAGUGCGGGAGAGGAAAGUGGAAUUCCUGGUGAGCGGUGAAAUGCGUAGAUAUCAGGGAGGAACACCGGUGGUGUAGACGGCUUUCUGGACCGUAACUGACGCUGAGACACGAAAGCGUGGGUAGCAAACAGG